CAGUGCGACUGACUCCACUCCCGCCCCUGCAUGCCCUACGUGGACAGGUGAAGUGGAGAGAGAGGGAAGGUAACAUUCAGCACGUCGUAGUCGGCUGGGAGCGUUCGCCGCAGCAAUCGAUGCAGAGUGGAAGAUGAAACUAGUAUGACAACCAAGUUGAAGCUUGUCGCAUGGAAGCUGAGAGCGACGGGACGUACGUCAGAAAGCCAGAGUCUAGUGCUGCCAGCUCGUGGGUACUGCUGCGCCUUCCCGGAACCCAGUGAUGUGGAAAACUACCAGUAGCAGCAAUACUGUGCAUCCAUUCAGCUUGUGUGCUAUGAAGAUGGACAGUCAGGUAUGACCAGAACAAAAGUGUCCUGAGCCUUUUAAGUGACAUGAGACUUUUCAUCAAGAGUAGCCUGUGUGAGAAGAGAGAGCCAUGGUCCUGUACAAAGUGCAUCACUGGGACCCAGUUGCUGUUUUUGCUCAAAUGGCAGAUGAGUGUGGUGGUGGGAAGCAGAAUGAAGAAGCAGAGUGGGGUGAAACGCAGGCCAUGAAAGACACCAUGGAACAUCUAACCACCAACGCCAUUUUACUGUCAAGCAAAAUUUCCAAGAUACGUCUCUUCAGUACCAAUGAUCUUUAUUUGUGUGACUUGGCACUGGAAGAAUUCACAGAUAGUUUGAUAAAUCGUGGAUCUCCUGGUGCCAAAGCAUACAUAUAAAAACUGCUACAAUGCGGAGGGGAAAUGCAUCGCAAAUCCUUCAGUAAUACAUUAGAACAUUGUAUUGUAGUGAAAUGUUUGAAGCAAUAAUAUUUGUGUGUAAAUAAAUUUGAAUAACAACAUCAAAAGUAUAUUAACUCAUAUAAUUCAUUUUUAUGUUAAGAUGACUAAGUAAGAUACUUAUAUAUAAGUUAGCAUUAAUGUGAUACAUUAUAGAAUGAUUAUUGUUAAUAAAUCAGACACAGUGCUGUCAAUAUUUUGUCACUAAGUUAAUGUAACAUAAUUAGUUUAGAUUAUAUAUAUUGGUUUGUCUAUUAAAUACUGCACAAGGUUUCCUGUUUUUUCAAUAAUUAUUUGUUUCUCUGGGUGUAUGAAUAAAACAUUAAUGACCAUGAGCUGUCAAAAUCUGUCCACUGAUAGUUGUAGAGUUCUGAGAUUGUAUUUAAUGAAAAUAAAUGAGGUUAAAAAUA